GUAGAACAGAUAAUCGCGGGUACAAUUUCCGAAAGGAAGUACGUGAGGAAAGUCCGGGCUUCACAGGGCAGGAUGCCGGAUAACGUCCGGUGGAGGCGACUCCAAGGCAGUGCAACAGAAAUAUACCGCCAUAUGUCAUAAGGAGGGACCCACGUAGUGGGAGGAUUCCUUAUGACACAGCGACAUUCGACCGAAGGGAGAAUGUUGUAAUAGAGGGACCCACAAUCCCAAACUCUGAGAGGGUAUCUCCUUAUGACAUAUGGUAAGGGUGGAAGGGCAGUGUAAGAGACUACCGCCGGUAUGGUAACAUAGCGGGCACAUGUAAACCCCAUCCGAAGCAAGACCGAACAGAAACAAUGGCGGCCCGUCAGUUUCGGGUAGGUCGCUUGAUUUAACUGGCAACAGUUAAACUAGAUAGAUGAUUAUCGAAUACAUAACCCGGCUCAUAGUUUUGCUCA
rnacentral:RNase_P_RNA from 1 species